GUGACCUGGACUUUUGAAUGGUGUCUGAAGUUGGGGCAGCCUUGUGGGAUAGAACCUUUAAACUGGUGGAAUCUGAUGGUAAUCCCAGAAAUGGAUCAAAUGGUUGAACAGCCAGCUGGUGUCACAGAAUGGCUUGGCCUCAGGAAAGAUCUCAGAGGAAUAUGAACAAAACCUGCAGUGCACAGGUGGGAACCGGUGUCUGGACGGUGACAGAAAUAAUCUGCAGGGAAGAGGAUGUUAAUGUUAUACAUCUGUGUCCAACACCCUCCCCACCCAUGUGGCUGGUUGAUUCAUGCCCCAGGUUUCAAGUGCCAUCUCUUCUAAAGUCUUCAUCUAUUUCUAUAGCUAGAAGUAAUCCUACCUACUUUACAAAAUUAGAAGAUCAAAGAACAUGUGGGUCUGAUCCUCUAGCAUAGAUAAUCUGUGAAAGGAAACAGAUGAAAUAAAGAUUUUCUCAUCUCUGACACUUCUGGAAAGGGCCUUACCGUUGGGUUUUAUGUUACUGGAAGGAAAGAAUCCAGGAGCCCAGUUUUGUCGGGUGUUUUUCGAACAUCUGUGUGCGCGCUGAGGGCUUCAUGCUGCGGGGGAGUGGAGACUUGGUUUAAUUAUUCUUCAUUCUGAAAAGUGCUAAGAACUAAGCAGCUGGAAUUAGAGGAUAAUAACGGAUGAGGCUUAUGAAAGCUAAGAUGAAAACAAGCAAUCAUGCACAAGCGCUUUGCUGUACUGCAAGGGCAGGAGGUCGCAGAUGGGGAAACGGG
rnacentral:lncRNA from 1 species